rnacentral:rRNA from 1 species
CAGCCGCCGCGGUAAUACAGAGGGUGCGAGCGUUAAUCGGAUUUACUGGGCGUAAAGCGUGCGUAGGCGGCUUUUUAAGUCGGAUGUGAAAUCCCUGAGCUUAACUUAGAAAUUGCAUUCGAUACUGGGAAGCUAGAGUAUGGGAGAGGAUGGUAGAAUUCCAGGUGUAGCGGUGAAAUGCGUAGAGAUCUGGAGGAAUACCGAUGGCGAAGGCAGCCAUCUGGCCUAAUACUGACGCUGAGGUACGAAAGCAUGGGGAGCAAACAGGAUUAGAUACCCCGGUAGUCCCUGUCUCUUAUAC